UCACACUGUAAUGCUGACUUUGAGGCUACUACAUCAGGGUUUGUUGAUACUGGGAAUUGAACCCUGAUCUCCCAGGGGAAAGGGCAAGGUUUGGUGUGUUGGGCCAGGGAGCUGGCAUGAUGGUGGCUGUCAUGUGUGAGUUAAGAGCUGGUUGCCCCAUGGAUUGCACCACAUGGUCUGGUCUUUCCUGCCUACAAACCAGGUGUGACAUACCAAUAGUGAUUACUGUGAACAGAACAGAACAAAGAAGAACAGGAGAGAGAACAGAAGAAACUUCCGAGAAUCAAGCUUCUGUGGGAGAUGAAGGAGCAAUUCCUUGUAGAAGCUGAUCGCAGAAUGGUCACAGAGCUGGAUCGAAUGGCAACGAAGAUGGUUCAAAGAGCAUCUAUGUGUGACCUAAAGGACUGCUGCCAGAGGGCAAUCAAUGCCUGCCUGGAUGAUUCAGUAAGACGAGGACUCAUUAGGGAUGCAGCAAUUCUACUGCUGCCUUCCAUUUUCAGAGAGGACUCAUCCUUUCUAUACACUCUACUGGAGGAGCCAAGCGUGCCUACUCCAGCAAUCAUGC